AUUGAACGCUGGCGGCAUGCCUUACACAUGCAAGUCGAACGGUAACAGGUCUUCGGAUGCUGACGAGUGGCGAACGGGUGAGUAAUACAUCGGAACGUGCCUGGUAGUGGGGGAUAACUACUCGAAAGAGUGGCUAAUACCGCAUGAGAUCUACGGAUGAAAGCAGGGGAUCGCAAGACCUUGUGCUACUAGAGCGGCCGAUGGCAGAUUAGGUAGUUGGUGGGAUAAAAGCUUACCAAGCCGACGAUCUGUAGCUGGUCUGAGAGGACGAUCAGCCACACUGGGACUGAGACACGGCCCAGACUCCUACGGGAGGCAGCAGUGGGGAAUUUUGGACAAUGGGCGAAAGCCUGAUCCAGCAAUGCCGCGUGCAGGAUGAAGGCCUUCGGGUUGUAAACUGCUUUUGUACGGAACGAAAAGCCCUGGGUUAAUACCCUGGGGUCAUGACGGUACCGUAAGAAUAAGCACCGGCUAACUACGUGCCAGCCGCCGCCGUAAUAC
rnacentral:rRNA from 1 species